rnacentral:rRNA from 1 species
CGAUGUAGCGCUAGAUACACAUGCAGUCGAGCGGUAGCACAGAAGAGCUUGCUCUGUUGGGUGACGAGCGGCGGACGGGUGAGUAAUGUCUGGGAAACUGCCUGAUGGAGGGGGAUAACUACUGGAAACGGUAGCUAAUACCGCAUAACCUCGCAAGAGCAAAGAGGGGGACCUUCAGGCCUCUCGCCAUCAGAUGUGCCCAGAUGGGAUUAGCUAGUAGGUGAGGUAAUGGCUCACCUAGGCGACGAUCCCUAGCUGGUCUGAGAGGAUGACCAGCCACACUGGAACUGAGACACGGUCCAGACUCCUACGGGAGGCAGCAGUGGGGAAUAUUGCACAAUGGGCGCAAGCCUGAUGCAGCCAUGCCGCGUGUGUGAAGAAGGCCUUCGGGUUGUAAAGCACUUUCAGCGGGGAGGAAGGCGGUAAGGUUAAUAACCUUAUCGAUUGACGUUACCCGCAGAAGAAGCACCGGCUAACUCCGUGCCAGCAGCCGCGGUAAUACGGAGGGUGCAAGCGUUAAUCGGAAUGACUGGGCGUAAAGCGCACGCAGGCGGUCUGUUAAGUUGGAUGUGAAAUCCCCGGGCUUAACCUGGGAACUGCAUUCAAAACUGAGAGGCUAGAGUCUUGUAGAGGGGGGUAGAAUUCCAGGUGUAGCGGUGAAAUGCGUAGAGAUCUGGAGGAAUACCGGUGGCGAAGGCGGCCCCCUGGACAAAGACUGAUCGCUCAGGUGCGAAAGCGUGGGGAGCAAACAGGAUUAGAUACCCUGGUAGUCCACGCUGUAAACGAUGUCGAUUUGGAGGUUGUGCCCUUGAGGCGUGGCUUCCGGAGCUAACGCGUUAAAUCGACCGCCUGGGGAGUACGGCCGCAAGGUUAAAACUCAAAUGAAUUGACGGGGGCCCGCACAAGCGGUGGA